GACGAACGCUGGCGGCGUGCUUAACACAUGCAAGUCGAACGGAAAGGCCCUGCUUUUGUGGGGUGCUCGAGUGGCGAACGGGUGAGUAACACGUGAGUAACCUGCCCUUGACUUUGGGAUAACUUCAGGAAACUGGGGCUAAUACCGGAUAGGAGCUCCUGCUGCAUGGUGGGGGUUGGAAAGUUUCGGCGGUUGGGGAUGGACUCGCGGCUUAUCAGCUUGUUGGUGGGGUAGUGGCUUACCAAGGCUUUGACCGGUAGCCGGCCUGAGAGGGUGACCGGCCACAUUGGGACUGAGAUACGGCCCAGACUCCUACGGGAGGCAGCAGUGGGGAAGAUUGCACAAUGGGCGGAAGCCUGAUGCAGCAACGCCGCGUGCGGGAUGACGGCCUUCGGGUUGUAAACCGCUUUCGCCUGUGACGAAGCGUGAGUGACGGUAAUGGGUAAAGAAGCACCGGCUAACUACGUG
rnacentral:rRNA from 1 species